UACGGAGGAUCCAAGCGUUAUCCGGAUUUAUUGGGUUUAAAGGGUGCGUAGGCGGUCAUUUAAGUCAGCGUUGAAAGUUUUCGGCUCAACCGGAAAAUUGGCAUUGAAACUGGAUGACUUGAGUGUAAAUGAAGUGGGCGGAAUUCGUUGUGUAGCGGUGAAAUGCAUAGAUAUAACGAAGAACUCCGAUUGCGAAGGCAGCUCACUAACAUACAACUGACGCUGAGGCACGAAAGCGUGGGGAU
rnacentral:rRNA from 1 species